GACGAACGCUGGCGGCGUGCUUAACACAAGCAAGUCGAACGGUGAAAGCGGAGCUUUCUCCGCUGGAUCAGUGGCGAACGGGUGAGUAACACGUGGGCAACCUGCCCUUCACUUCGGGAUAACUCCGGGAAACCGGGGCUAAUACCGGAUAUGACCUCAGCGGGCAUCCGCGGAGGUGGAAAGUGUUUCGGUGAAGGAUGGGCCCGCGGCCUAUCAGCGUGUUGGUGAGGUAGUGGCGCACCAAGGCGACGACGGGUAGCCGGCCUGAGAGGGCGACCGGCCACACUGGGGCUGAGGCACGGCACAGACUCCUACGGGAGGCAGCAGUGGGGAAUAUUGCGCAAUGGGCGAAAGCCUGACGCAGCAACGCCGCGUGCGGGAUGACGGCCUUCGGGUUGUAAACCGCUUUCAGCAGGGAAGAAGCCGCAAGGUGACGGUACCUGCAGAAGAAGCACCGGCUAACUACGUGCCAGCAGCCGCGGUAA
rnacentral:rRNA from 1 species